UGWKASCUUCAGAGAGUAUWSGUGCCUUCGGGACUGUGAGACAGGUGCUGCAUGGUGUCGUCAGCUCGYGUUGUGAAAUGUUGGGUUAAGUCCCGCAACGAGCGCAACCCUUAUCCUUUGUUGCCAGCGUYCGGSCGGGAACUCAAAGGAGACUGCCAGUGAUAAACUGGAGGAAGGGGGGGAUGACGUCAAGUCWCCMUGGCCCUUACGACCAGGGCUACACACGUGCUACAAUGGCGCAUACAAAGAGAAGCGACCUCGCGAGAGCAAGCSGACCUCAUAAAGWGCGUCGUAGUCCGGAUUGGAGUCUGCAACUCGACUCCAUGAAGWCGGAAUCGCUAGUAAUCRUGGAUMARAUGCCACGGUGAAUACKUUCCGGGKCUGUWCACACCGAAG
rnacentral:rRNA from 1 species